AUUUGUACUGGGCUAUGGUCUGGAUCAUAAACACUCUCUGCUCCCGCAGGUGUCUCAGCAUCACAGGAACGUCCAUCUUCUGUAAAGCAAAGGGGAAAAAAAAAAGCAUAAGGAUCUGGGUUUACUAAAUCAAACAAUCACUGUCUCAAAUAUCAGUUAUCUGACACAGGGAGCUAUACUAUAGGUUCCGUGGACAAAACUAAAUGUGCAGGCAAAGAUACAGAUCCUUUCACUAAAGGAGAAGGGAACUCACUGCCACCAAAAGAUCCAGGGACUCCAACAUCUGACUUCCCACAGUCAAGUGUAUGUUAGCAAAUAAUGCUCCAGGAGAAAUAGGUCUGUAAAGUGAAACAAAGACCCAGUAUCCACAACACGUGUUUUGCGGACUCCAGGCCAGCAUCAGUUUGUUGCCACCUUCUGAACAUCCCCUGGGACACAUUAGGGGUUCUCCAAGAAGGCAUCUUCCAGCUUAGUUUCAUCCAAAAGAAACUCACUCGUGUGCCCUGAAAAUGCUCUGCAGCAGGAACUGAAAUCUGGGGAAAGGAGGAUGCCCUACUUACAUCAAGCGUGUACCAUGCAAAGGAGAAUGGAUCACUAAAGGACUGUAGCUGUGGCAAGACUGAAGAGGAACUAAUGGACCUUCCUGAGAGAGGACUUAGCUGCCACAGAGCUGCAGCUGCAAAACUGUCAGGAACUAAGAGGGCAGGCAUCUCCAACACAUCAGUAUACCAUGUUCAGACUCCUUCAGUGGUAAUUUAAAGAUUCCUGCAUUGUUCUCUACUGUAGUGCCAGAGAUGGGUCUUAACUAAUGGUUGAAUUCCUAUUACUUAAUAUGGGAGGGCUUAUUACUUGGCAAGAAUCAGGAAGUGCUAUCAACACAUUACAGAUCAAUGAAAUUGCUGUAUUUUCAGAAAUCCGUGAACCCGGACCAUAUGUAACUGGUCAGGCCCUUAAGCCUACCUGGGUAGGCUUAAGGGUACAUGUGCUUACAAGGGUGGCAGUGAGCUCAGACUUACUGCACGUGUGAUAGAGCCCUCUGCUCUUUUACAGAAAGAAAAACUGGAGAAGAUGCACCAUAUUUCACUAGCAACUCAUCGUCUCUCACCCAGACCUCUCUAACCACAUUUGUAUACAGCCUAUUAUCUCCUACACUCAUUAGGGAAACAGCAGUAACUUUAACCAACAGAUCAGCCAGCAGAAGUAUCCUAUUAUUUAAAAUUUCCUGAGUUUUUGGCACUGUUGCUUGGAUUUUUCUUCCUGCUAAUCACCUUAGCUCCUACCUCUUGAAUCCCAUUUUUUUUCCUCCAAAUUGCAGCGAAGUAUAACUUAGUUGAAGCCUGCAUAUGCCACAGCAACAACUACUUGAUAUCACUCCCAGCUGUAACUAGGUACAGUGAACUGAAUCCAGUGUGAGCAAUCUUUUUCUUGAUGUAUUUUAUCAUGCAAAUUCAAGAAAAUCUUACAUAAAAAGCCUUGGACUUCUUCUGGACACCCAUGGUCUGGCCAGUCAGUAUACUGCAAAUGCCACACUGUCCUCUCUUGUCCAGAGAGAAGAUGCUUGACCUUCAGACCAGUAGUUGCAAAGCAGCCAGAGUCUGUGCGGAACUUGGUUGUCACCUUGAACUUCCCAUAAGUGGCUGAGCUGUGCUUAGAGCCCAGUUUAGGCCAGUAACGAUGGCUCUUACUUCUUCCUCCCUCCUUAAUAACAAAACAAGACAAAAAGCCGUUAGUUCCUGCAAUUUUAAUUCUCUACAAAGGGCAUAAAACUCUGUGGAUAAGCCAAGUAUUCUUAUUUUAAAGUACUACAAGAGCAAGGAGCAUGCCACAAAGUAAAGAAAACACCUAUUAAAACCUCUCAGCCAUAUAAUAUUUCUAAGUGUAAAACUACUUGAAGAACUGACUCUUGUCUCAUGAUGAAAGCCAGCUACUGCCUACAAUACCUUGGUAAAUACUCUCCUCGUGGGGAAGCCUCUCUUAAAUAGAAGGAGAAUCUCUUCAGCAGCUUCUAAGCGUCUGGUUUUGCUCAGGCUUGAGAACUGGACAGUGACUUGAUGUGCUCUGCUACUCCCUGUGUUUGCUGAAAGCAACCAGGCAUGAAGCCGAAUGUGGUGUUAGUUAACAACGUGCCAGUUUUUACAACAUAGCACAUAGUUCUUGGAUUACAAUAGGAAUAACUGUUUUGCUUGGCAUAGGAAUAAAAAGUUGUGGGGUGUUUU